rnacentral:rRNA from 1 species
UACGUAGGUGGCAAGCGUUGUCCGGAUUUAUUGGGUUUAAAGGGUGCGUAGGCGGCUUAUUAAGUCAGUGGUGAAAUACUCUAGCUCAACUAGAGGGGUGCCAUUGAUACUGAUGAGCUUGAGUACAGAUGAGGUAGGCGGAAUUGACGGUGUAGCGGUGAAAUGCUUAGAUAUCGUCAAGAACACCUAUAGCGAAGGCAGCCACCUGGCAUAAUACUGACGCUGAGGCGCGAAAGCGUGGGGAGCGAACAGG